rnacentral:rRNA from 1 species
AUGCCGACCCACAGUUCGUGGCAAAUUGGCCAACGCGGGCUACAGAAAUCUUUUAGCGCGAAUAUUUUGGCCCAAGCCCGCGAACGCUCAGAUCUAGAUAAGGUGUACCACGCACGCAGCCAAAUCCCUAAUUCCCCUUCUCCUUCUCCUUCGAUUCCCCACACCCGCCGCCGCCGGGCUCUCCACCGCGCCUCCGCGCUCCACCACGGCGUUGGCCUCUCCCUCGCGCCCCCGCGUCUCUACUUCACGCUGUCGACCUCUCCACCGCGCCGGCCACCUCUCCACCUACUCCAGAGGAGCGUUGCCCUGCGGAAUGGCGUGACGGCCGUGGCGGCGCACGUCCCGGAGCUUUCAAGCUUCCCGGCGAGCAGCGUCGGCGGCUCCGGCACCAACCUCCACUCCUCCAGGUUCCGGUUCCUCGUCAACACCCAGGACGUUGUUGGUCUUGCUGUCAAUAUUUAUACAGGACAAAAGCAGAACUUCGAUCCAGCACCCUCCCACGCACCUGCAAGCAUGAAUGAAGGACGUGUUUUGAGGUCUAGUGUAACACAAAAUCAUGAUCAUGUAGAUCACGCGCAUCAGCCUUCCAAAGAAGCAAACAUAAGGACUGGACUCACAAUGAACCAUGAAGCCGGCGAUCUGUGUCAACUGGAUGCUUUAGCUUUCAUUUUGUACAACGAUGUCUCAUAUUUGCGUCUUUUUGCUGUCAUUCUGUAA